UACGGGGGGGGCAAGCGUUUGUUCGGAAUUACUGGGCGUAAAGGGUUCGUAGGUGGCCUGCUAAGUCAGACGUGAAAUCCCUCAGCUUAACUGGGGACUGCGUCUGAUACUGGUGGGCUUGAGUGCAGGAGAGGAACGCGGAAUUCCAGGUGUAGCGGUGAAAUGCGUAGAUAUCUGGAGGAACACCGGUGGCGAAGGCGGCGUCUGGACUGCAACUGACACUGAGGAACGAAAGCCAGGGGAGCAAACGGG
rnacentral:rRNA from 1 species